AUCUAACUGAUGAAUCUCAAAUGGGAAGAAACGCGAGUCUUGGAU
rfam:Schistosoma mansoni strain Puerto Rico chromosome 4, complete genome